GGAAACACCCGGUCCCAUUCCGAACCCGGAAGUUAAGCCUCUCAGCGUCGAUGGUACUGCAAGGGUGACCUUGUGGGAGAGUAGAACGUCGCC
rnacentral:rRNA from 1 species